rnacentral:rRNA from 1 species
AGUCGUAACAAGGUCUCCGUAGGUGAACCUGCGGAGGGAUCAUUACACAAAUAUGAAGGCGGGCUGGAACCUCUCGGGGUUACAGCCUUGCUGAAUUAUUCACCCUUGUCUUUUGCGUACUUCUUGUUUCCUUGGUGGGUUCGCCCACCACUAGGACAAACAUAAACCUUUUGUAAUUGCAAUCAGCGUCAGUAACAAAUUAAUAAUUACAACUUUCAACAACGGAUCUCUUGGUUCUGGCAUCGAUGAAGAACGCAGCGAAAUGCGAUAAGUAGUGUGAAUUGCAGAAUUCAGUGAAUCAUCGAAUCUUUGAACGCACAUUGCGCCCUUUGGUAUUCCAAAGGGCAUGCCUGUUCGAGCGUCAUUUGUACCCUCAAGCUUUGCUUGGUGUUGGGCGUCUUGUCUCUAGCUUUGCUGGAGACUCGCCUUAAAGUAAUUGGCAGCCGGCCUACUGGUUUCGGAGCGCAGCACCAGUCGCACUCUCUAUCAGCAAAGGUCUAGCAUCCAUUAAGCCUUUUUUUUCAACUUUUGACCUCGGAUCAGGUAGGGAUACCCGCUGAACUUAAGCAUAUCAAUAAGUCG